rnacentral:rRNA from 1 species
AAAUUGAAGAGUUUGAUCAUGGCUCAGAUUGAACGCUGGCGGCAGGCCUAACACAUGCAAGUCGAGCGGUAGCACAGAGAGCUUGCUCUCGGGUGACGAGCGGCGGACGGGUGAGUAAUGUCUGGGAAACUGCCUGAUGGAGGGGGAUAACUACUGGAAACGGUAGCUAAUACCGCAUAACGUCGCAAGACCAAAGUGGGGGACCUUCGGGCCUCAUGCCAUCAGAUGUGCCCAGAUGGGAUUAGCUAGUAGGUGGGGUAAUGGCUCACCUAGGCGACGAUCCCUAGCUGGUCUGAGAGGAUGACCAGCCACACUGGAACUGAGACACGGUCCAGACUCCUACGGGAGGCAGCAGUGGGGAAUAUUGCACAAUGGGCGCAAGCCUGAUGCAGCCAUGCCGCGUGUGUGAAGAAGGCCUUCGGGUUGUAAAGCACUUUCAGCGGGGAGGAAGGCGUUAAGGUUAAUAACCUUGGCGAUUGACGUUACCCGCAGAAGAAGCACCGGCUAACUCCGUGCCAGCAGCCGCGGUAAUACGGAGGGUGCAAGCGUUAAUCGGAAUUACUGGGCGUAAAGCGCACGCAGGCGGUCUGUCAAGUCGGAUGUGAAAUCCCCGGGCUCAACCUGGGAACUGCAUUCGAAACUGGCAGGCUAGAGUCUUGUAGAGGGGGGUAGAAUUCCAGGUGUAGCGGUGAAAUGCGUAGAGAUCUGGAGGAAUACCGGUGGCGAAGGCGGCCCCCUGGACAAAGACUGACGCUCAGGUGCGAAAGCGUGGGAGCAAACAGGAUUAGAUACCCUGGUAGUCCACGCCGUAAACGAUGUCGAUUUGGAGGUUGUGCCCUUGAGGCGUGGCUUCCGGAGCUAACGCGUUAAAUCGACCGCCUGGGGAGUACGGCCGCAAGGUUAAAACUCAAAUGAAUUGACGGGGGCCCGCACAAGCGGUGGAGCAUGUGGUUUAAUUCGAUGCAACGCGAAGAACCUUACCUGGUCUUGACAUCCACAGAACUUUCCAGAGAUGGAUUGGUGCCUUCGGGAACUGUGAGACAGGUGCUGCAUGGCUGUCGUCAGCUCGUGUUGUGAAAUGUUGGGUUAAGUCCCGCAACGAGCGCAACCCUUAUCCUUUGUUGCCAGCGGUUAGGCCGGGAACUCAAAGGAGACUGCCAGUGAUAAACUGGAGGAAGGUGGGGAUGACGUCAAGUCAUCAUGGCCCUUACGACCAGGGCUACACACGUGCUACAAUGGCAUAUACAAAGAGAAGCGACCUCGCGAGAGCAAGCGGACCUCAUAAAGUAUGUCGUAGUCCGGAUUGGAGUCUGCAACUCGACUCCAUGAAGUCGGAAUCGCUAGUAAUCGUAGAUCAGAAUGCUACGGUGAAUACGUUCCCGGGCCUUGUACACACCGCCCGUCACACCAUGGGAGUGGGUUGCAAAAGAAGUAGGUAGCUUAACCUUCGGGAGGGCGCUUACCACUUUGUGAUUCAUGACUGGGGUGAAGUCGUAACAAGGUAACCGUAGGGGAACCUGCGGUUGGAUCACCUCCUUACCUUAAAGAA